rnacentral:rRNA from 1 species
ACCGUGCAAAGGUAGCAUAAUCAUUAGUUUUUUAAUUGAAAGCUGGAAUGAACGGUUGGACGAGAAAAUAACUGUCUCAAUUUAAUUGAAUUAGAAUUUUAUCUAUAAGUAAAAAAGCUUAUAUAAUUUUAAAAGACGAGAAGACCCUAUAGAGUUUUAUAUUUAUAGAUAUAUAAAGUUUUUAGUAUAUUUAAAUUUUAUAUGUUUUUAAGUAUUUUAUUGGGGCGAUAGAAAAAUUAAAUAAACUUUUUUUAUAUGAUUACAUAGUUAAAUGAAUAAAUGAUCCAAUAAUUUUGAUUAUAAGAUUAAAUUACCUUAGGGAUAACAGCGUAAUUUUUUUUUAGAGUUCUUAUCGAAAAAAGAGUUU